rnacentral:tRNA from 1 species
UGCUCCGGUAGUGUAGAGCCUAACAGCGCACAUUGGUCUAGCAUACGAGACUGUCACUCUUGCGACCCGGGUUCGAAUCCCGGCCGGGGCGU